rnacentral:rRNA from 1 species
AAUCAACGCUGGCGGCGUGCCUCAGACAUGCAAGUCGAACGAUUAAGACUCCCUUCGGGGAGUGCAUAAAAGUGGCGCACGGGUGAGUAACACGUAAGUAAUCUACCCUCGGGUGGGGAAUAACGUCCGGAAACGGACGCUAAUACCGCAUAAUGCAGCGGCACCGCAAAGGUGACAGUUGUUAAAGAUUUAUUGCCUGGGGAGGAGCUUGCGGCAGAUUAGCUUGUUGGUAAGGAACGGCUUACCAAGGCUACGAUCUGUAUCCGGUCUAAGAGGACGGUCGGACACACUGACACUGAAUAACGGGUCAGACUCCUACGGGAGGCAGCAGUCGGGAAUUUUGGG